UACGUAGGGUGCAAGCGUUAAUCGGAAUUACUGGGCGUAAAGCGUGCGCAGGCGGUUAUGUAAGACAGAUGUGAAAUCCCCGGGCUCAACCUGGGACCUGCAUUUGUGACUGCAUAGCUGGAGUACGGUAGAGGGGGAUGGAAUUCCGCGUGUAGCAGUGAAAUGCGUAGAUAUGCGGAGGAACACCGAUGGCGAAGGCAAUCCCCUGGACCUGUACUGACGCUCAUGCACGAAAGCGUGGGGAGCAAACGAGG
rnacentral:rRNA from 1 species